AGUGCUGGGAUUCCAGAUGUAAGCCAUCAUGCCCGGCCCCCUCUUUUUUUUUCUGGGAGACAAGGUCUCGCUCUGGCCAGGCUUGGGUUGCAUUGAUGCAGUAAUGAUUCACUGCAGCCUCAACUUCCCAGGCUCUCAAGUGAUCCUCCCAUAUCAGCCUCCCACAUGGCUGGGCCCAUAGCUGUGCACCACAACACUUAGCUAAUUUAAAAGAACUUUCUAUGUUCCCCAGGCUGGAAUGCAGUGGCACUGUUAAGGCUUAUGUGUGCCUUGCCCUCUGGGCUCGUGAUCUACCUCAGCAUCCCAAGUAGCUGGGACUACAGAAAUACACCACCACUUCUGGCUCAUUUUGUACAGGGAUUUUACCGUGUUGCCCAGGCUGGUCUUGAACUCUGGAGCUCAAGAGAUUCGCCUGCCUUGGCCUCCCAAAGUUUUGGGAUUAUAGGUGUGAGCCACCAUGGCUGGCAGAAUUUUUUUUUUGGUAGAGGCGGGAUCUCAGCGGGUUGCCCAGGCUGGUCUUGAACUCCUGCGGUCGUGUGAUCCUCCCUCCAAGUAGUUGGUGCCACCAUGCCCCGCUAACUAAAAAAUAUUUUUUUUAUAGACAUGUGAUCCUACUUAGUUGCCCAGGUGACUCCUUGCUUCAAGUGAUCCUCCUGCUUUGGCUUCCCCAAAGUGCGGGGAUUACAGGCAUGAGCCACUAUGCCCAGCCAGCUUGAUAUAUUUAGACAUCUGUAUAUCCAAAUUGACAAAUUGGGUUGCCAGCAGAACUUUAUAGUUUGCGCUCUCACUAAAUGUUCAUGCUAGUCAUGACCCUAAGAACAAUUUCAGAAGUUCAUUCAAAUUUAUCAAGUUGUAGCAAAUAAUAAAAUCACCAUAAUUUAGCAUCCAAAUGAGCACAUCUUGAAAAGACUAAUUCAUAAGCUAUGACAGCAGGCAUCAACUGGGAUUGUCCUGGGCCACAGAGUUGCCUUGUGGUCACUCUACUUAAAGCCAUUUUGUUACAAGAUUU